ACUUUCACUCGCCUCACACUCCAACAUCCUACACUGUCUGCCCAUUACUCACAUUUCUUAAAUUCAUCUCAUUUACCAUUUCAAUCUCUUUUGGGUCUCAUUCACCCUUUAUUCUGAUCAUCAACCUUUAAUUUCUAAUUUCAUAGCUUCUGUCAAUACUCAUUAACACUUACUCCUCAAUCCCUUACCCAAAAACGCUCCAUAACAUGCCCAGGUCAUCCUUGCUCACCCUCCUCCUUAUGGUGAAGUUAAGAAUUAUUCAACAAGUAUAUGACCAACGAUAUAAAGGCCACAACCACACCAAUCUCUUAUGGCAUAUUCUACUGGCAACAAACAUAUGCACAAUACACACAUAACCAUUCGGGUUUUCACCCCUCGACCCAAACAGGCAGGCCAACACACACAACCAUUCAAGUUUUCACCCCUUGACCCAAGAAGAUGGGCCAACACACACAACCAUUCAGGAUUUCAUCCCUCAACCCAAGCAGGCGGCCCAGAUACACACUUUACACUUCACAUAUUUAUAUCAACUCACACAGUCACAAUCCUACACGCACACAUAUGUAUGAUCAUACAUACAACCAUUCUGAAUAUAUCCAUCCAUAUCAAGAGAAACCACCAAGAAUCCAUAAUAAAUGCCAGAUCAGUUUCUACAAAAAAUUAGAAAAUCAUACUUCAGGAUCAUCUAAACCAUACAUAUCUUAAACCCGAUUUGUGAAUUUAUACUUAGAUCAAUUUUUGUCUUCUAAAAGGCUCAUAACACGCACCUAAACGCUCAAAUAUGCAUGAAUUUAAGGUAAUUAUCAAACAAUAAUUCAUCAACCAGAUUUCAACCAUAAACAACAAUGAAUAAUAAGAUAUAUCUAACAAAAGGGUUUGAGAAAUAUGCAGCCAAGAACUACACCAUCCUCAUAUACCCGUAUAAUCUGUCGAUUUCCUCUUCCUUUUUUUUAUUUUUUUUUAUCUCAUUUGGCAUUCUAGCCUUCCAUUCUGGAAAUUUUCCCAACUCUGAUAUGUCUACUACUUUCCUACUCUGAGCAGUCACAAGCUCCCUAAAAUUUACUUCCAAUUCAUUUUUCUUUAUCCACAUUAAACAUGUUAACAGCUCUCUGAAUUCACUUUCAAUUUAUCAUUCUUUUCCCACCUAAACAUAUUAAAUCCUCUGGAUUUAAUUCCAACUCAUUCAUCUUUCACCACCCUAAAAAGAUCAUAAGUUCCCAGAAUUCAAUUCAAAUUCAUUUUUCCUCCUCCACCAAAUCAGAUUAAAAGUUCCUUAAUCUCGGACUAAUUACAUUUCUUCCUUUCUGUUAGAAGUCAAUUUAUUCUUGACAUGCUCAACUCUCUUUCCAUCAAUGUAUAUAAUCAACAAAACUCUA
rnacentral:lncRNA from 1 species